UUCUUGUGCGUACUGGUUUUAAUAAAAAAAAAAAAAUCUUUCGCCUUUUUUUAAAGAUUUCCGGGGCGGCUAUAAUCAAUGAGUUUGAUGUAUUUUUGUGAGCUUUGCUCUUGCAAAGCU